rnacentral:rRNA from 1 species
CAGCCGUAAACAAUGUGCGUUAGGUGUGUCGGUAACCACGUGUUACUGAUGCGCCGAAGAGAAAUCGUGAAACGCACCACCUGGGAAGUACGGUCGCAAGGCUGAAACUUAAAGGAAUUGGCGGGGGGAGGCACCACAACAGGUGGAGCCUGCGGUUUAAUUGGAUUCAACGCCGGACAUCCCACCGGAUAAGACAGCUGAAUGAUUGUCAAUCUGAAGGUUUUACAUGACUAGCUGAGAGGUGGUGCAUGGCGUCAGUGACU